rnacentral:rRNA from 1 species
ACGGGGUGCAGCAGGCGCGAAACCUUUACAAUGCUGGAAACAGCGAUAGGGGGACCUCGAGUGCCACCGUACAACGGUGGCUGUCGUUGUGCCUAAAAAGCACAAUAUAGCAAGGGCCGGGCAAGACCGGUGCCAGCCGCCGCGGUAACACCGGCGGCUCGAGUGGUAACCGUUAUUAUUGGGUUUAAAGGGUCUGUAGCCGGCCGGAUUAGUCUCUUGGUAAAUCUGGCAGCUUAACUGUCAGGCUUCAGGAGAUACUGUUCGGCUCGAGACCGGAAGAGGUGAGAGGUACUUCAGGGGUAGGGGUGAAAUCUUGUAAUCCUUGAAGGACCACCAGUGGCGAAGGCGUCUCACCAGAACGGAUCUGACGGCAAGGGACGAAAGCUAGGGGCACGAACCGGAUUAGAUACCCGGGUAGUCCUAGCCGUAAACAAUACUCGCUAGGUGUCGGCCACGGUGCGACCGUGGUCGGUGCCGUAGGGAAACCGUGAAGCGAGCCACCUGGGAAGUACGGCCGCAAGGCUGAAACUUAAAGGAAUUGGCGGGGGAGCAC